GCUCUUAUGGCGAAACAGGUAGACGCGGCAGCCUCAAAAGCUACUGAUAGUAAUAUCGUCCCAGUUCGACUCUGGGUAAGAGCA
rnacentral:tRNA from 1 species